CACACAUCUCGCGUGGGUUCCUGUCAGACCAACACCAGUUCCGUGGUCGGCGAGGACUUCCAGAAAACCCUUACUACACAAUGGAGAAUGCAGUAUGUUCACGUUCCGAAAUAGACUGGAAGCGAAUCGUUCCUAAAACUACUCAUUGGUGCCAGGAUGUUUGCUCCUUGUUCUGACCAUGAUCGUGAUCGCAUGGAGAUGGACAUCUUCAGACGAAGAAAAAAAUAACGAGACUGACGAUGAAGUACGUAAACGUUUACUUUGGAAAUUAUACCAAAGAUUCGGAUUUUGCUCAAAGGUUGAAGUUUCAGCGGUCAUUUUAUAAAGGUUACUUUGGAGAAAAGGUAAGUUUUCUCUAUUCAGCUUAUUUUUAUUGUUGCUGUUGUAAAGUA